ensembl:lncRNA
AGAGAGGUCGUGGAGUGUCAGCCUAUGGUAUCUGAGGUCCAGGAGAGAUGACCUGCGCUGUUUUCCUCUGAGGAGAUAUCUGAAAAAUUUAAUCAGAUCACAAGCAAAGACCUCCUGGGGACCUUCAAUGCAAACCUUGACAAAUUUGUGCCUGGCCUGCUGAAACUCUACUGGUCUAAGAAGGGAGUUCUUUGUGAGGAGAUGGAAGACCUCCUGGAUAAACUUGAUGAACAGACAUCCAACACUGUGUCCAACGGGCACUGAGAGUCCUGCCCUUUUUCCUCAAGGGAAGAUGCAACAGAGGUUUUCCUGAAGUGCUUAGACACUGACAUUUUGGAACCAGUGUUGAACGGUGCAUCAGUUGCCAUCCUCACCAUCCUACAAGAUGACGAUGCUGAUACGUCUGUGCGAGAACAUGCAGUUGUGUUGGAAGGGGACAUUGUGCUACAUAACAUUCCAGAUCUCUCUACUGCCCUGGCACACCUCUUUGGCCUUCUGUAUGCCCUCAACAUUGAUUAUCCAAAGCAGAUGAGUUUUACCUUUGAAGCAAUUCAGGCCAUCUUAUUUUGACCUGGUCGGACAAUAUGAAGGCGAAGUGGAUAAAUCAUUAUUCGAAAUGUAAAUUUUAGUCAGAUGAAUCUGUAUUGUUGAGAAUAUAUGGUGAAAAUUUGUCUUGUAGUAUUGUAAAAAACUGUGUUAGUUUCCUCUUCAUUGAUGGUAACAUUUCUAAUAACUUUUAACUUCCAUAGUUCAUCAUAGUAAGCCUGUGUAAAAUGUCAAUGUCUGGGUACAUAGGCAACCGUUUGUGGCACUACCUUAUUUAAUGUGCAAUAGUUAUGUUCAGCUUUUACAAGACGUUCAGGGUGUGUGGGGGUGAAUUAUUAAGUUGCUGGACUCUUUUCUUUUUUGGUUCUGGACUCUGGAAUUUUAACGUCUCUGCUGGGGUGCUCAAAGCACCCAAAAGAAACUGGCAACACGUUUUUGUUUGUUUGUUAUUUCUUUUCUUUCUUUCUUUCUCUUUGUUUUUUUUUAACAGAAAUUCACCCUACUACCCAUGACAUUCUGAAAUGUACUGAAAAGACUGUUGAACAAAAUAAAUAAGCUUUUAG